CGCGAGGCGCAGCACCUAAAAGCAGGCCUCUGGUCCUGACGUCUUCAGGAGGCCAGUGACAUCACAGAGGAAUUCCGGAGGGGUCCGGCGGGAAGAGCGAGGGGAGCGAGCGCGUGCCUGCUCACGCCCGGCGGCGGCCCGACCGGAUUCCCGUCGCCCCGUCCGUGAGGUAACUUAACCCCCACACUCCCAAAAAAAGGCCAUGACACUUGGAGAAGGGGUACCCCGUGACUACUGUUGGCUUUGUGGGAGCCCCCCUCAGGCCUGGGGACGCCCAGAGCUGCCAUGGGAACGGGUAAGAGGUGUCAAAAAUACGCGGGAGAGCUUGCGAAAGGGCGCAUGCGGACCCACACCCUCCCCACAAUCCCCCUGGACACGGAUAUGACCUCGGAGCCAGAUGGGACGCCAGCGAAGCUACACAGGGGCUGUAAAAGAAGCUUUCUUCCCUUUGUCCCUUUGAGUUUACAGAGGGAAACCGGCUUGUUUUUCACACUGCAUGCAUCGGCUCAACACAGAAUGCAGAAGUGGUGCUUGUCGAGCUUUGCAUCGUCUGGGAGGGCGGAGCUACGGGCUCGCAUCACAGCCGGCCGGUCCGACGGGGAACGUCUCGCGAAAUCCUUCGCCCGUUUGCUCCAAAGGAAAAUGAGAGACACGAAAACUUAGAAAUACAAACUCAUAUUGAACCUGCAAGGGAAAAAAAUUACAGUUGGGCUGGAACCACGUGUCAAGACUGAUGAUCAGCACUGCUAGUUUUUGUUCGUGAGCAACAACAUUACUGAUUUUAUUAGAUGGAACUUCAGUUACCAUAGUAACGUAAACUAAUGUCACAACAGAGUUUUUUUUAAACACUUUUUUUUGUCCUACAUGCGUGCAGAUACAUAGCAGCUUAUUUAUUUUGGCUGUUUCUCUGAGUACACAGCAUUUUGGCUGAGGCAAACUGUCCUCAAAUAAAAAAAUUUCUGAGAGCUUUGUAUUAUAGGCAAAUAAGGCUUUCCGGGAAAUUUAUAUCCACAAAUCAUAGGAUAACUGGGCAUUAUUUUAAAAGAGGAAUGAGUUUUUGAAAUAGCCUUUAAUGCCUUUUAUCCUGUGAGGUCUAUUAGCAAAAUUAAAACACUUAUUUCCCCUUAUAUUAGCUUCUUCUUAAGAUUAAUUGGUGCGGGCUACAGUGUUUUGGCAGCUGUCCAAUGAAACAUUGUUGUUGACAGCUGGUACUGAAUUUUUACCUGUACCAAAAUGGGUAAAAAUGCAGUAGCUCAAGUACUUAAGUGACUGCAUGGGAUGUAACUGAGUUUAAAAAUAGAUUUUAAAGUUAUUUCGCUUGUAUUGGAAGCCCAAAAUGGAUCAGCACAUGGACGGCUUUUAAAAUGUAUUAUCAGCCAAUAAGAACUAUCUGCUUAAGGAAAGCUCUUGUGUGUUCCCAAGGUGAAUAAUGUACGAAGUUAUGAAUGCCUUUUUCUGCUUAUGCACCAAAACUGUGGAAUAGUUUUC